CUUGCUGUAUGGACGUUAAUCCCGCACCAUACCUUAAAUAAAAUUAAAUGUGCGGUAAAGUAAACGUGCUUGUAUGGGCACUAAUUCUGCUCCAUACAUUUAAAUAAAAGCAAAGGCGUGGACGAUAAACCCGCACCACCCUUUAAAUAUUGCCGUAUGGGUAAUAAACCUACACCAUACCAUAAAUAAAAUAAAUAAGCAAAGGCGUGGACGAUAAACCCGCACCACCCUUUAAAUAUUGUUGUAUGGGUAAUAAACCUACACCAUACCAUAAAUAAAAUAAAUAAGCAAAGGCGUGGACGAUAAACCCGCACCACCC
rnacentral:lncRNA from 1 species